CCUACGGGUGGCAGCAGUGAGGAAUAUUGGUCAAUGGGCGUAAGCCUGAACCAGCCAAGUCGCGUGAGGGAUGAAGGUUCUAUGGAUCAUAAACCUCUUUUAUAAGGGAAUAAAGUGCGGGACGUGUCCCGUUUUGUAUGUACCUUAUGAAUAAGGAUCGGCUAACUCCGUGCCAGCAGCCGCGGUAAUACGGAGGAUCCGAGCGUUAUCCGGAUUUAUUGGGUUUAAAGGGUGCGUAGGUGGUCUUUUAAGUCAGCGGUGAAAGUUUGUGGCUCAACCAUAAAGUUGCCGUUGAAACUGGGGGUCUUGAGUAUAUGUGAGGGAGGAGGAAGGCGUGGGGGAGCGGGGAAAUGAAUAGAGAGCACGAAGAACCCCGAUUGCGAAGGCAG
rnacentral:rRNA from 1 species